rnacentral:rRNA from 1 species
GGGCCCGCACAAGCGGUGGAGCAUGUGGCUUAAUUCGAGGCAACGCGAAGAACCUUACCUGGGCUUGAAAUAUAUUUGACAGUCUGUGAAAGCAGAUCUUCCUUCGGGACAGAUAUACAGGUGCUGCAUGGCUGUCGUCAGCUCGUGUUGUGAAAUGUUCGGUUAAGUCCGGCAACGAGCGCAACCCGCGUCAUCAGUUGCCAGCAGGUAAAGCUGGGGACUCUGGUGAGACUGCCUGUGUUAAGCAGGAGGAAGGCGCGGAUGACGUCAAGUCAGUAUGGCCCUUACGCCCAGGGCUGCACACGUGCUACAAUGGUCGGUACAAUGAGACGCAAUACCGCGAGGUGGAGCAAAUCUACAAAACCGAUCUUAGUUCAGAUUGCAGUCUGCAACUCGACUGCAUGAAGUUGGAAUCGCUAGUAAAGGCGUAUCAGCUACGACGCCUUGAAUACGUUCCCGGGCCUU